ACCCUGUUAACAGUUCGUGUGAAACACAUAAGUUACAAAGUUGCAAAGAUUUGCAAACAUUUAUAAAGUUACUACAUACGUAAUAACUUUUACGUAUUUAACUAUUAUAAUAACACACUUGUAAAAGAGGGGAGAGCAGAGACUGAAGAUGAGACCUCUUUGACAAGCUUGAGCAUGUGCAGUUAUGAGUGUACAUAAGUGAAUGGACGGUUGUUAAAAGGAUGGAUGUGGGACUAAAAUUUCAUAAAAUUGAGUUAAUAACACACUUGUAAAAGAGGGGAGAGCAGAGAUUGAAGGCCUCUUUGACAAGCAUGUGCAGUUAUGAGUGGACGAUUGUUAAAAGGAUGGAUGUGAGACUAAAAUUUCAUAAAACUGAGUUAAUAACACACUUGUAAAAGAGGGGAGAGCAGAGAUUGAAGACCUCUUUGACAAGCAUGUGCAGUUAUGAGUGGACGAUUGUUAAAAGUCUGGAUUCAAUGGCGUGCUCUCUUGCUCCUCCCACCUGAACUAAGUCUCCGAGAUCGGACCCGGCGGCAGUGAAGUUGAGAUGGCACAGGAAUGGCAGUCGAUCUUCCCUCGGCCGGCGGACUUCCACCCUGUAGGUCCGGCCGACGUCGCCGUACAACGUUCUGUUGCACGCUGCAACACCACGUGCACAAAGAUAAAAAUCCUUCCUCUCCUCGUGAGAUCUACGACCGCCGUUUCGCCUCUUAUUUUUCCACGCGAGAUGCGAGGGACGGGCAAUCUGACGUUUCCAUAGCUCGCACAAUGGACACGACAAUUUUCGCGCUCGAUGAAAACACACUCCGGCGAGUGCUAGUUCCAGCGUCCAAGUGAUUGAAUUUUAAUCGACAUACUACGUUCGUAAAACAAGAUGGACUUGGGCCACUUUCAAAAUAAACGGCUCAAAUCUUAGCCAAUUAAUUUCCUACGUACAAAAUCUUAGUGACUUUAAAUGUGUUAGUUGCAAUUUGUUUAAAAACGUAGAGAUGUAAAUAUUAAAGCAGCUAACUUAAUUUUUUUUUUUUUUAGAAGAUGGACUUGGGCCACUUUCAAAAUAAACGGCUCAAAUCUUAGCCAAUUAAUUUCCUACGUACAAAAUCUUAGUGACUUUAAAUGUAAGAUGGACUUGGGCCAAUUUCAAAAUAAACGGCUCGAAUCUUUGAUUUCGGAGUGACGAAAACGGUGAGUAAUAAAGGGGGGGAGAGGGGGAUUUUAAUUGAAUGAAAAUCGCGAACCGAGAGGGAGGAAUCGAACGAAACGAAACGGAUAUCAGAUAAAAAGGACUCACGGGUGCAAUAUUUCGGCUCGUCGGAGUUGUCGCCGCAGUCAUUUUCGCCGUCGCAGUAUUUGUCCUGGGCGACGCAGUUCCCGGUGCCACAUCGGUACUCGGAUGGCCUGCAAAUGGAAUGCAAAUAAAACGUGCAAUAUAUCCUUUCGAAUUCACCACGAUAUACGGCAGAUAUAUACACAUAUACACACAUAUAUAUCGUUUUGGUUCGACGCGGUGGACACGCGUACGAUUUAAUGGCGGACCAUCGGCUGGAUACGAUCGACGUGAUUUUGAAUCACGAUUUUUCCUAUUUUCGCAAGCGUCGCCAAGCGGAAAGCGCGACGGGAGAGGAGAAUAAGAGUAAGAAAAUAUCGAUCACCAAAGCAAACAUUCGACACCGGGAACGAUUUUAAAUUUGCCGCGUGAAAAAGGUGAAAGGCUGUUUCAUAAAAUGCGGCGGCGACAGUUUCAUCAAGGGGAAUCGUCAUGCUUUGUUUGGCUUCGUUUCAGAAUUGUUACAAAGUUAUGCUUCUGAUGUUAACUGCUUCGCUAUUUUUUUUGAAAACAAAAGGGAGCAGAUUGAGUUAUUAAAAUUAUACCUUUCACGUUAACUGGUCGUCUAUUUAAAA